GUGCUCACUUUGACAACACAUAUACUGAAAUUGGAAUGAUACAGAGAGUAGCACAGCCCCUGUGCAAGGAUGACAUGCAAAUUGUGAAGUAUUCCAUAUUUUU